AUGAAGCUCCUCUACCUUCUCUUGGGGGUUGCCACCUUGGUUUUCCAGGCCCAGGCUCAGGUCACAGUCGUGGCACAGGGUGAGGCUGAGCCACAAGAUCUGGGUGAGAUGCAAGAGCAAGCUGAGGACAACGUCAUGGAUGCGGAGGAUGCUGAUGAUAAGGGAUCUGCAGAUCUUAAACCACUGGCAUCUCCAUUAUGGUGUGGAUGGAAAGGUGGUUAUUGCCGGCAUCACUGCAAGGAGAAGGAACGUAAGACUGGAUUAUGCACAGUGAAUUAUGUGUGCUGCCUCUGA